UACGUAGGUGGUAAGUGUUGUUUGGAAUUAUUGGGCGUAAAGCGCGCGCAGGUGGUUUAAUAAGUUUGAUGUGAAAGUUUAUGGUUUAAUUGUGGAGGGUUAUUGGAAAUUGUUAAAUUUGAGUGUAGGAGAGAAAAGUGGAAUUCCUAGUGUAGCGGUGAAAUGCGUAGAGAUUAGGAGGAACACCAGUGGCGAAGGCGGCUUUUUGGCCUGUAACUGACACUGAGGCGCGAAAGCGUGGGGAGCAAACAGG
rnacentral:rRNA from 1 species